rnacentral:rRNA from 1 species
GACGUAGGGGGCCAGCGUUGUUCGGAAUUACUGGGUGUAAAGGGUUCGUAGGCGGUGCGGCAAGUUGGGAGUGAAAUCUCUGGGCUUAACCCAGAGGCUGCUUCCAAAACUGCUGUGCUUGAGUGUGGGAGAGGCGCGUGGAAUUGCAGGUGUAGCGGUGAAAUGCGUAGAUAUCUGCAGGAACACCAGUGGCGAAGGCGACUUCCUGGCCUGUUCUUGACGCUGAGGCGCGAAAGCUAGGGGAGCAAACGGG